rnacentral:lncRNA from 1 species
CUGUAUGCACAGGCAGUCAGACUCACAAAAGUGGUCUUUUUUUCCUUCAAGGAAUGCAGAAGUGCUGAUGGUUCUCAUCUACAGCACCCAUCCCAAAGCUUCCACCAGCGGUGCUCACCUCGCCCAGACAGCGGAGGUGGCACAAUGCAGCCAUCAGAAAAUCAGCAGAAAUGAGCUGAUGCCGAUUUGAGACCACUGGACACACCUAAAUUUAUCUGUAGUUGAUGUUGCAAACCAAAACCAAAGCCCUGACAUCUUCACAGCAGUCUGACGAUGAGAGAACUGAUACAGCGCAGGCAUCUCUGCACAACCAUAGCUAAGCAGUCAGACUGCAUGUGUGGGCAAGACACCUGCAACAACCUGGAGAGGACAGCAAUUCAGAAGUUCUACAGACUGGAAAUAAAUAAAACAAAUCCUAAAUUAC